GACGAACGCUGGCGGCGUGCUUAACACAUGCAAGUCGAACGGAAAGGCCCUGCUUUUGUUGGGUGCUCGAGUGGCGAACGGGUGAGUAACACGUGAGUAACCUGCCCUUGACUUUGGGAUAACUUCAGGAAACUGGGGCUAACACCGGAUAGGAGCUCCUGCUGCAUGGGGGGGGUUGGAAAGUUUCGGCGGGUGGGGAUGGACUGGGGGCUUAUCAGCUUGUUGGUGGGGUAGUUGCUUACCCAGGCUUUGACGGGUAGUCGGCCUGGGAGGGUGACCGGCCCCAUGGGGACUGAGAGACGGACCAGAGUGCUAUGGGAGGCAGCAGGGGGGACUAUUGCACAAUGGGCGGAAGCCUGAUGCAGCAACGCCGCGGGCGGGAUGACGGCCCUGGGGUUGUAAACCGCUUGCGCCUGUGACGAAGCGUGAGUGACGGUAAUGGGUAAAGAAGCACCGGCUAACUACGUG
rnacentral:rRNA from 1 species